UGUUCUAAAUGUGUCACGUAUUGCUUUCAGGUUCUCUUUCCAGAUCACAAUUUAAUUAUUUAAUUUUUUGUUUAUUUUUUUAUCAUUUAAAGAUUCUAGGAGUUGGGAAGACCACUUCUCAACAAGAAAUAAAGAAGGCGUAUCACAAAUUGGCUCUGCGCCUCCACCCAGAUAAGAAUCCUGGGGAUGAGGCAUUGGUGGGAGAAGCAGCAAACAAUCUUCAGGAGUACUUCAGAACAAUGUACAAGAAAGUCAUGGAGGCUGACAUUGAAGAAUUUGAAGCUAAAUAUAGAGGGUCAGAUUAUGAGAAAACGGACUUGAAGGACCUCUACACAAA